AACGAACGCUGGCGGCAUGCCUAACACAUGCAAGUCGAACGAGACCUUCGGGUCUAGUGGCGCACGGGUGCGUAACGCGUGGGAACCUGCCCUUAGGUUCGGAAUAACUCCCCGAAAGGGGUGCUAAUACCGGAUAAUGUCUUCGGACCAAAGAUUUAUCGCCUUUGGAUGGGCCCGCGUUGGAUUAGCUAGUUGGUAGGGUAAAAGCCUACCAAGGCGACGAUCCAUAGCUGGUCUGAGAGGAUGACCAGCCACACUGGGACUGAGACACGGCCCAGACUCCUACGGGAGGCAGCAGUGGGGAAUAUUGGACAAUGGGCGAAAGCCUGAUCCAGCAAUGCCGCGUGAGUGAUGGAGGCCUUAGGGUUGUAAAGCUCUUUUACCCGGGAUGAUAAUGACAGUACCGGGAGAAUAAGCUCCGGCUAACUCCGUG
rnacentral:rRNA from 1 species